rnacentral:tRNA from 1 species
GGUUUAAUGGUCUAGUGGUUAUGAUUUCUGUCUCACAUGUGAUCACAGAAGGUCUCCAGUUCGAUCCUGGAUUGAACCA